UACAGAGGUCUCAAGCGUUGUUCGGAUUCAUUGGGCGUAAAGGGUGUGUAGGUGGCGCGCUAAGUCGGGUGUGAAAUCUCGGGGCUUAACUCCGAAACUGCAUUCGAUACUGCCGUGCUUGAGGACUGGAGAGGAGACUGGAAUUUACGGUGUAGCGGUGAAAUGCGUAGAUAUCGUAAGGAAGACCAGUGGCGAAGGCGGGU
rnacentral:rRNA from 1 species